AACGAACGCUGGCGGCAGGCCUAACACAUGCAAGUCGAACGCUCGUAGCAAUACGAGAGUGGCAGACGGGUGAGUAACACGUGGGAACCUUCCCUAUGGUUCGGAAUAGCUCAGGGAAACCUGGGGUAAUACCGGAUAAGCCCUUCGGGGAAGGAUUAUCGCCAUUGGAUGGGCCCGCGUCGGAUUAGCUAGUUGGUGAGGUAACGGCUCACCAAGGCAACGAUCCGUAGCUGGUCUGAGAGGAUGAUCAGCCACACUGGGACUGAGACACGGCCCAGACUCCUACGGGAGGCAGCAGUGGGGAAUAUUGGACAAUGGGCGGCAAGCCUGAUCCAGCCAUGCCGCGUGAGUGACGAAGGUCUUCGGAUUGUAAACUACUUUGGUCGGGACGAUAAUGACGGUACCCGCAGAAUAAGCCCCGGCUAACUUCGUGCCAGCCGCCGCAGUAAG
rnacentral:rRNA from 1 species